ensembl:lncRNA
GUCUCAGUCACCUCACUCUUAACAGAUCUUACUCUCAGAGACUCCACUUGAGGGUGCCUCAGCUAACCACAGUCCUCUUACCUGCGUUCUUAGUGUUAUAGCACUUUUAUUUUCAUUCAUUAUGCUUCUUUUGAUAAUUUAACCUCAUCGAAAUUAAAGAAACAUGAUCCUCAAAUACAAAGAAUUUCCACUGAAGAGCAAUACAAUAUCCAAAUUAUGCAGUCUGUCAUAUGACAUCAUCAUUCAUUCAUGAUUUUCAACUAGACAGUUAUUGAGCAUCUGCUAUACGCCAGGAACAGUAGUCAAGCAUGCUCCAUCACCAGACAGAUCAGAAGAGGAUCAGAGAAAUAGAAAAAUAAGAACAUAGAGUGGCCCCAAAAACCUGAACCAAAGAAGGUAGAGAAAAGUCUUCCUCGCCAACAGUUCCAAGUAGAGGAAUAGCCCUUGCAAAAGUGUGAGGGUGUGAGGGAGCGGCACGACACCUCCAAAGCACAAUGAGAGAUGGAGUGCGGCUGAAGCAAGGGAGAGUGUGGGUGUGGCAAGAAAUGAAGCCGUGUUGCUGUGACGGUCAAUCAUGAAGGCGCUGAGGACUGUCACAAAUGUACCUUAAUCAAAUAAUAGGAAACUUUUGACCAUGUCAGAAGUUGACUUGUCUCCAUAUUCAGAGAGGAGUGAUGUUAGCAUUCAGUGAACAGGUCCAAGGCUGGAUGUCCUGCAACACCCAGGUCAGUCUCCUAUUAAUCAAGAAUUGUCCCACCAGCCAUUCAUAUAUGCG